rnacentral:rRNA from 1 species
CCUACGGGAGGCAGCAGUGAGGAAUAUUGGUCAAUGGACGAGAGUCUGAACCAGCCAAGUAGCGUGAAGGAUGACUGCCCUAUGGGUUGUAAACUUCUUUUAUAUGGGAAUAAAAUGUUCCACGUGUGGGAUUUUGUAUGUACCAUAUGAAUAAGGACCGGCUAACUCCGUGCCCGCAGCCGCGGUAAUACGGAGGAUCCGAGCGUUAUCCGGAUUUAUUGGGUUUAAAGGGAGCGUAGGUGGAUUUUUAAGUCAGUUGUGAAAGUUUGCGGCUCAACCGUAAAAUUGCAGUUGAAACUGGCAGCCUUGAGUACAUUAGAGGUAGGCGGAAUUCGUGGUGUAGAGGUGAAAUGCUUAGAUAUCACGAAGAACGCCGAUUGCGAAGGCAGCUCACUGGACUGCAACUGACACUGAGGCUCGAAAGUGUGGGUAUCAAACAGGAUUAGAUACCCGAGUAGUC